UACAGAGGGUGCAAGCGUUGUCCGGAAUCAUUGGGCGUAAAGGGCGCGUAGGUGGCGGGACAAGCGUGCGGUGAAAGCUCGGGGCUCAACCCCGCGUCGGCCGUGCGAACUGUUUUGCUUGAGCACUGUAGAGGCAGGCGGAAUUCCGGGUGUAGCGGUGGAAUGCGUAGAGAUCCGGAAGAACACCGGUGGCGAAGGCGGCCUGCUGGGCAGUAGCUGACACUGAGGCGCGACAGCGUGGGGAGCAAACAGG
rnacentral:rRNA from 1 species